rnacentral:lncRNA from 1 species
AGACACCAGAGCACCAACUUCUCUCACUUAAACCUUAUGACAACCUUAAGAAGUAGGCAGCAUGAUCCCCUUCUUGGAAAUGCAGAAAGAGAGAAUGGGGGAGAUUGAGAGGCUUGCAGAAUGUGACAUCAUUAGGGAGAACAGUGGUUGAGGUCCAGCAGCUCCUGCAGAUGGGUGGUGGUGGAAGGAGGAGAGAAUGGGCCACAGGCAGGCCAAGGGCAAGCUUAGCAGCACUCAACAUCCUCCAUGAACUCAACAGAAGUCAAGAAUGCAGGCAGCUCAUGAUGAAGACCUGCAGCGGCCCAGGUUUACCAAGCUCAUUCACAAUUGCAGUUGGAGAAUUCGUCUUUGGUCAUUUUCUACUUUGGAAAUACGGUACAACUGGUCAGGGAGAACCAAUGGCAGACAUGUGCUAUAUCCCAACACACCUUGACUCUUGCUCUCACCGGAAGCUCAGCUUAGGGAAAGGAGAUCUUAAUAGGAGACAGAAGACCCGGACGCUGGUUUUGAUUGUGCCCUUCUCCAGCUGUGUGGCCUUGAGCAG